rnacentral:rRNA from 1 species
GAUGAACGCUGGCGGCGUGCCUAAUACAUGCAAGUCGAGCGAACAGACGAGGAGCUUGCUCCUCUGACGUUAGCGGCGGACGGGUGAGUAACACGUGGAUAACCUACCUAUAAGACUGGGAUAACUUCGGGAAAUCGGAGCUAAUACCGGAUAAUAUAUUGAACCGCAUGGUUCAAUAGUGAAAGACGGUUUUGCUGUCACUUAUAGAUGGAUCCGCGCCGCAUUAGCUAGUUGGUAAGGUAACGGCUUACCAAGGCAACGAUGCGUAGCCGACCUGAGAGGGUGAUCGGCCACACUGGAACUGAGACACGGUCCAGACUCCUACGGGAGGCAGCAGUAGGGAAUCUUCCGCAAUGGGCGAAAGCUUGACGGAGCAACGCCGCGUGAGUGAUGAAGGUCUUCGGAUCGUAAAACUCUGUUAUUAGGGAAGAACAAAUGUGUAAGUAACUAUGCACGUCUUGACGGUACCUAAUCAGAAAGCAACGGCUAACUACGUG